GGGCCUGUAGCUCAGCUGGGAGAGUGCUACAUUCGCAUUGUAGAAGUCGAGAGUUCGAAUCUCUUCAGGUCCACCA
rnacentral:tRNA from 4 species